rnacentral:rRNA from 1 species
CAAUAGCGUAUAUUAAAGUUGUUGCAGUUAAAAAGCUCGUAGUUGGAUUUCUGGUUGAAGCGACCGGUCGGGCGUUGAUUCGUCUGCACUGGAGUCGGUUUUGGCCAUCCUCUAGGAAAGUGCGUCUGGUAUUAAGUUAUCGGGCGUAUGAUCCUGGUCUUUUACUGUGAAAAAAUUAGAGUGUUUAAAGCAGGCCUUCGCCUUGAAUACACUAGCAUGGAAUAAUAAGAUAGGACUUUGGUCUAUUUUGUUGGUUUGCAGACCGAAGUAAUGAUUAAUAGGGAUAGUUGGGGGUAUUUAUAUUCCGAUGUCAGAGGUGAAAUUCUUAGAUUUUCGGAAGAUAAACUUAUGCGAAAGCAUUUACCAAGGAUGUUUUCAUUAA